AUGGAAAAGAAAGGAAAAGAGAUUUGAUUUCUGUGGCUGAGAACCACUCCAACAGAAGAUUUUGUGAAGAAUGAGGUUGAAGCUAUUAGUACAAGUUAGAAAAAAAAAUCUAGUUCUAAGACCUGCAGAAGAAAGACCUGAACUUCAGAGGGGACCACAAAUGAAUAUGAAUUAAGAACGGGGUUCUCUUUUCAAAAGCCAACACAAAAUGAGGACAUGUUUUAUGUAAAAGCAGCUCUUCUUGCCAGUGGGCUUCCACGUGUCCUUCUUUCAUAUAUCACAGCCAGACCUAGGAAAUUCCCUGGGAAGUGCGCUCCACCACAGUGCCUGCAGUUUCUCCAUUUGACUGGGAUUCUGUUGCACCUUGAGAGAUUUUUUUUUUUUUUUUGAUGUUUGGGAAGCUGUUACCACAAAAAAGCCCUUCCUGCAGUGAGGAAAUAGCAUGGUACCCAGAAAGACGAAGGGAGUGGACUGGGAAAUGGGAAUCUGGGUCCAUUUCCCUCCUACCAGUACCAUUUCCCUCCUACCAGUACCAUUUCCCUCCUACCAGUACUGUGUGUUUUUCCUGGCCUCAGUGGCUUCAUCUGUAAAAUGGAACAGUGUGGACAUGAAAGUGAAAACAUCUGCCAUUGUGACUAUAAAUGUUUAAGAAACGAGUCCUGCGUACCUGCCUCCUUCAGUUUUCCAUCUGUAAGGUACCACUUAUUGGGUGCUUGCUAUUUGUGGAGCAAAAAGAAUGCUGAAGCAAGAAGGCAGCCUCGAAGGGGUGCUGUUCAGAGCCAAUUUACAAUUAUGAAGGAAGCCAGAUUGAAGAAAAUGCCAAAAAGUACAAAAGGGAAGGCCAAACUGAAAGAAUUUCAGAACAUCAGAGUCUGGGCCAUGAUGCACCCAGGCUUCAUGAUAUAUGAGGUAAUGCUUUUCCUACUUGUUUAUACUUCUUAUAGUCAAGCACAUUGUAAUUCAUGCAGCUCCUUAAGAAAAUGGGAAUCUGUGUGGUGUGGUAGAACUGCUGAGGUGGGUCUUCAUGGGGGGAACCCAGAUUUUAAAUGGUGA
rnacentral:lncRNA from 1 species